rnacentral:rRNA from 1 species
CUGGUUGAUCCUGGCGGAGGCUACUGCUAUUGGGAUUCGAUUAAGCCAUGCAAGUUGAAUGAAUUUAGAUUCAUGGCGUACGGCUCAGUAACACGGGGAUAACUUACCCUUAGGACUGGGAUAACUCUGGGAAACUGGGGAUAAUACCGGAUAUUAGGCUAUGUCUGCAAUGGUUUGCCUUUGAAAUGUUUUUUUUCGCCUAAGGAUAGAUCUGCGGCUGAUUAGGUCGUUGGUGGGGUAAUGGCCCACCAAGCCGAUGAUCGGUACGGGUUGUGAGAGCAAGGGCCCGGAGAUGGAACCUGAGACAAGGUUCCAGACCCUACGGGGUGCAGCAGGCGCGAAACCUCCGCAAUGUACGAAAGUGCGACGGGGGGAUCCCAAGUGUUAUGCUUAAAGGUAUGACUUUUCAUUAGUGUAAAAAGCUUUUAGAAUAAGAGCUGGGCAAGACCGGUGCCAGCCGCCGCGGUAACACCGGCAGCUCGAGUGGUAGCUGUUUUUAUUGGGCCUAAAGCGUUCGUAGCCGGUUUAAUAAGUCUUUGGUGAAAGCUUGUAGCUUAACUAUAAGAAUUGCUGGAGAUACUAUUGGACUUGAAGUCGGGAGAGGUUAGAGGUACUACCGGGGUAGGGGUGAAAUCCUAUAAUCCUGGGAGGACCACCUGUGGCGAAGGCGUCUAACUGGAACGAUCUUGACGGUGAGUAACGAAAGCCAGGGGCGCGAACCGGAUUAGAUACCCGGGUAGUCCUGGCCGUAAACGAUGUGGACUUGGUGUUGGAAUGGCUUUGAGUUGUUCCGGUGCCGAAGGGAAGCUGUUAAGUCCACCGCCUGGGAAGUACGGUCGCAAGAUUGAAACUUAAAGGAAUUGGCGGGGGAGCACCACAACGCGUGGAGCUGCGGUUUAAUUGGAUUCAACGCCGGACAUCUCACCAGGAGCGACAGCUGUAUGAUAAUCAGGUUGAUGACCUUAUUUGACUAGCUGAGAAGAGGUGCAUGGCCGCCGUCAGCUCGUACGGUGAGGCGUCCUGUUAAGUCAGGCAACGAGCGAGACCCA